rnacentral:misc_RNA from 1 species
AAGAUAAUAUUUAGAGUAUUACGUGUUGUUUUUUUUAUCGAUCGUAGAAACGGACGAAAGGUCAAGUUAUUUAGAAUGUAUCUUUACCAUCUCAAAAUUACAGCGAUGUCAAAGAAAAGCGGUAGUAAAAUGUUGGUACAUCAAUUAUCUACCGUUCUGCCAGAUGAUAGACCCAUAACUGCCAUUAAUAUUAUUGAGGACGUAGAAAAAUGUCCACCAAAUUUUACAGUAGUUUCUAGAACGUACGAUCAAGACACUGAUGCAGAUUUAUGGAGAGAGACCGGAUUGUUUAUCAAAAAGAAAGGUAGAUAUAUAUGUUUUUCCAAGACGGAAGGUUCACCCCAUUGCAUAGUGGAAGAUAUCACCAUUAUCAAUGAACGAGAAAUGCCACCAGAAGGAUACAGUAUUAUCUCCCAUACCAUAGAUUCCAUGCAGAAGGCAUGGAGGAAGAAACAAUUGUGUUAUAAAAUGAAAAACAAGGAUUUGUGUUCUAAAGCUGUAACCGAUAUAAUUAUAUGUAGUAGAAUUGUACAUAAAGCGUCUAAAAUGGCACCCAACGGUUUUGCCGCAGCUGGCGUAAUAAAUGGAGUAUGCGUUUGUUACAAAACUGUGGAUAUAACGAACGGACAACCAAAUUCUCAAUCUUAUAUUAACAUAGAUAAACUAUUAAUGCAAAAUGCUUCUCCAAAUCCUUCAAAUGGUACGCCUCAUCGAGCACCACCUGAGAGGCCACCCAAACCCAAGUUUUCUCCCAAACCAAAUAAUGGUAUUUAUUCUCAAAUUGGAGCAGCUCUCGUUGGAAAGGAUACAGACGAAUCCAAUGAUAGGGAUUACGAAGUGUUAAGUCCUAGUGCGAGAUUGAGGCCUACGAGACCAGCUCCUCAACCUCCCACCACUUCAGUCAUCGGUUCCACACCAAUUUAUGGUACACUGCCAGGUUCUUCCGAUUUAGAUGGAGUCCCAUUCGUUCUCAAUCCUCGUCUUAAUAUUCAUUCUGAUUCUGCCAUAUAUAAAUUUCCUACAAUCAAAAUGUGGACGCAAAAAGAUUUGGACAAAGAGUUUUGCUACGAUUUUCGUGCAGAAAGAGAAACUUGAAAAUACCAAUGUGCCAAAUUAUUUGUAUGAUAAAGUCAUACAUUUUUUUGUUGUCUAUUCAUCCGUACUGACUAUAUAGUACUAGCCGAGUGUAAUAGAGUGCCUGAAUGAGUGAUUUAUAUUAAUUUCCAACCAAGGAAUAUCAGUUUAUGCAUUCUCUAUGACAACAUUAUAGUUAUAGCUUCUCAGCAACGCGUGUUCCCGACGAUAAGGAAAUCUUUAAAAAAGGAGAGACAAAUUCUGUUAUAAUAUAUUCGGACUGAUUAUGCAACUACCAGUUAAAAUCAAAUUAAUAAUCAUGUAUUAUAUAAUGUUAUCACAAAUUCGUGAUAUUUAUCUAGCUGUCGAAUCAAUGUGAAACGUAAGAUAAUAAUUAUAAUUCAUUUCAAUGAA